rnacentral:rRNA from 1 species
GACGAACGCUGGCGGCGUGCUUAACACAUGCAAGUCGAACGGAAAGGCCCUGCUUUUGUGGGGUGCUCGAGUGGCGAACGGGUGAGUAACACGUGUGUAACCUGCUCUUGACUUUGGGAUAACUUCAGGAAACUGGGGCUAAUAUCGGAUAGGAGCUCCUGCUGCAUGGUGGGGGUUGGAAAGUUUCGGCGGUUGGGGAUGGACUCGCGGCUUAUCAGCUUGUUGGUGGGGUAGUGGCUUACCCAGGCUUUGACGGGUGGCCGGCCUGAGCGGGUGACCGGCCACAAGGGGAACGGGAUGCAGCCGUGGGGCCUACGGGAGGCAGCAGGGGGGAAUGUUGCAACAAGGGCGGGAGCCUGAAGCAGGAACGCGGGUUGCGAAGAGCCGGCCUUGGGGAUGAAAACCAGCUGCCCCUUGUACGAAGGUUGAGACGGGGCAAAAGGAAAAAGAAAACCCGCAAAUCACG